UAGUAACGGCGAGUGAAGCGGGAAGAGCUCAAGCUUAAAAUCUCCGUGCAAGUUUUGCGCGGCGAAUUGUAGUCUAUAGAGGCGUGGUCAGCGUGGGCGCUUGGGGCAAGUUCCUUGGAAGAGGACAGCAUGGAGGGUGAUACUCCCGUUCAUCCCUGAGUGGCUCGUGCGUACGACCCGUUUUCUUUGAGUCGCGUUGUUUGGGAAUGCAGCGCAAAGUAGGUGGUAAAUUCCAUCUAAAGCUAAAUAUUGGUGCGAGACCGAUAGCGAACAAGUACCGUGAGGGAAAGAUGAAAAGAACUUUGAAAAGAGAGUUAAAGAGUACCUGAAACUGCUGAAAGGGAACCGAAUCGUUUCCAGUGUCUAUAAUCUGUGGCAUAUUUCAUUGGCGAGCGUUUGCGUGCGUGUGCUGUGGCAGUGGCUUUUUUGGCUGCGCCUGGUGUGUGUGCUGUGAGUGUUUGCUGGUGCCCUGUGCUGCGGUGGGACGUCAAGGUCAGUUCGUAUGCUGCGGGAAAUGGCUGCCGAGGAGGUAGGGCUUACGCUCCGCGUUUGUCUGUUAUAUCUUGGUGGACGAGUCGUCGCGGUUGGGACUGAGGUGCCUACAACGUGCUUUUGAGUGGGUUUGUGUCUCCGUGUGCGCCGUGUGCGGAUAGCUUGCUAUGCGUGUGUGGUUGUGUGUGGAUGGAUGCGGGCCUUAACUUGUCGCCGUUC
rnacentral:rRNA from 2 species